rnacentral:rRNA from 1 species
CCUACGGGAGGCUGCAGUGAGGAAUAUUGGUCAAUGGACGAGAGUCUGAACCAGCCAAGUAGCGUGAAGGAUGACUGCCCUAUGGGUUGUAAACUUCUUUUAUCUGGGAAUAAAAUGUUCCACGUGUGGGCUUUUGUAUGUCCCAUAUGAAUAAGGAUCGGCUAACUCCGUGCCAGCAGCCGCGGUAAUACGGAGGGUCCGAGCGUUAUCCGGAUUUAUUGGGUUUAAAGGGGGGGUAGGUGGGUUGUUAAGUAAGUUGGUAAAGUUUGGGGGUUAACCGUAAAAUUGCAGUUGAAACUGGCAGUCUUGAGUACAGGAGAGGUGGGCGGAAUUCGUGGUGUAGCGGUGAAAUGCUUAGAUAUCACGAAGAACUCCGAUUGCGAAGGCAGUACACUGGACUGCAACUGACACUGAGGCACGAAAGUGUGGGUAUCGAACAGGAUUAGAUACCCGAGUAGUC